GUGAUUUCUCAUAUAAACAUAUUUUUCUCUUAUUGUGGUAGGAGACGGCGUAGAGGAGACAAGCAAUAUCGUUCAACAAUGGAAGAACCUCAAGAUGAUGUGGAGAACACAACUCGGAUCAAGGUGUGCUAUGAUCAUUGAGGCUCCGCGACACAACUGUGGAGCUGCCUUGGGCAUGGGUGGAAUCGGUAAAUAGGUAAUGAAACCAAUUAUGUCUAUAUUUUCAUUUUGACCUUCACUUGCUCAUACUUUCUUUUUUUCCGCUUGCUAAAUAUUAUUUUUUAUUCU
rnacentral:lncRNA from 1 species